rnacentral:rRNA from 1 species
GUCGAACGCUGGCGGCGUGCUUAACACAUGCAAGUCGAGCGGAAAGGCCCCUUCGGGGGUACUCGAGCGGCGAACGGGUGAGUAACACGUGAGUAAUCUGCCCUUCACUUCGGGAUAGCCCUGGGAAACCGGGAUUAAUACCGGAUACGACCGGUGCCUGCAUGGGUGCUGGUGGAAAGUUUUUUCGGUGGAGGAUGUGCUCGCGGCCUAUCAGCUUGUUGGUGGGGUAAUGGCCUACCAAGGCUUCGACGGGUAGCCGGCCUGAGAGGGUGACCGGCCACACUGGGACUGAGACACGGCCCAGAUUCCUACGGGAGGCAGCAGUGGGGAAUAUUGGACAAUGGGCGGAAGCCUGAUCCAGCAACGCCGCGUGAGGGAUGAUGGCCUUCGGGUUGUAAACCUCUUUCAGCGGGGACGAAGCCGCCUUCGGGCGGUGACGGUACCCGCAGAAGAAGCACCGGCCAACUACGUGCCAGCCGCCGCUGUAA